rnacentral:tRNA from 1 species
GCGCCCAUAGCUCAGCUGGAUAGAGUAACUGAUUGCGGUUCAGUAGGUCAGAGGUUCGAAUCCUCUUGGGCGCGCCA